rnacentral:tRNA from 1 species
GGGGAUGGAGCUUAGUAGCACAGCGCCUGCCUGGCAAGCACGAGGUUGUGAGUUCCAUUCCCA